GUAUGGUGUCAUGGUCAUUGUUGACUGUUCAUACAAUCUCUGCAACUGCUUUGCAGCUUAUGCAAGGAUUUUACGAUGGUCAACAGAGACCUUUGACAUCAAAGA
rnacentral:pre_miRNA from 2 species